UUAACCGAAUACAAUAUAUAAAUAAACAAGUUAACAACUUACUCUCUCCCUCAUUCACAAGUUUACCUACAAACCUAAGAACUGUUCUUGUACAAAAUUGAAGCCGUCUCUUUUUUGGUUUCUAAAUUUUCACAAUCACUAAUUGCAGUUUGCAUUACAUGCAUCUUCUAAUCACGAGUGUGCGCCUUUAUGAGAGAGGAUCAAAUUCCCAGCCUAUCGAUUUUGGAAGACCUUUUUCUCUUGGACUUUAUCAAGAAGAGAAACGAGAGUCAACCCAUAUAAUAUCACUCGACAAGAUCACAAACCUCCCAAGAUGGCCGGUUUAUAAGAUCGAGAUUCUGUUUAUAAGGCCGGUGCGGAAAUAACACUACAAGAUUUGAUGAAUCUAUUCAUUUGCUUUCCUCUGCUUCUGGAAUUUUCUUCUUCGUUUAGUUUAUUCUUUCUGAUAUUGUUUAACAGACUCUUGUUCGAUGUAUAAUGUAGUAUUAUAAUAAUCUUGACAUAUC